GACGAACCGAGCGAACGUUGUUCGGAAUCACUGGCUUAAAGGGCGCGUAGGCGGGCGAUCAAGUCGGUGGUGAAAUCCUGCAGCUUAACUGCAGAACUGCCUCCGAUACUGGUGGUCUCGAGGAAGGUAGGGGCGUGCGGAACAGUUGGUGGAGCGGUGAAAUGCGUUGAUAUCAACUGGAACUCCGGUGGCGAAGGCGGCACGCUGGACCUUUCUGACGCUGAGGCGCGAAAGCCAGGGGAGCAAACGGGAU
rnacentral:rRNA from 1 species